UAAGGAAUAUUGGUCAAUGGACGCAAGUCUGAACCAGCCAUGCCGCGUGAAGGAUGAAGGUCCUCUGGAUUGUAAACUUCUUUUAUCUGGGACGAAAACGGGAUUUUUAUCUCAAUUGACGGUACCAGAGGAAUAAGCACCGGCUAACUCCGUGCCAGCAGCCGCGGUAAUACGGAGGGUGCGAGCGUUAUCCGGAUUUACUGGGUUUAAAGGGUGCGUAGGUGGGCUUAUAAGUCAGUGGUGAAAUCUCCGAGCUUAACUUGGAAACUGCCGUUGAUACUAUAGGUCUUGAAUUAUCUGGAGGUAAGCGGAAUAUGUCAUGUAGCGGUGAAAUGCUUAGAUAUGACAUAGAACGCCAAUUGCGAAGGCAGCUUACUACAUAUAAAUUGACGCUGAGGCACGAAAGCGUGGGGAUCAAAC
rnacentral:rRNA from 1 species